UAGUGGCAGAGAGAGCGAGAGAGAGAGAGAGAGAGAGAGAAAUGCGCUAGUCCUGCGUUCUUACAGACGCUCAGUCCGUCCUGGCGGGGAAUAUUGGAUGCUGCCCAUAAUGCCUUGCUGCCCUGAGGUAAUGGGACCUUUGUAUUAGAGCUUUGAGGGACUGAGACUCUGGUGCACACAGCUUGCAGCUUGCUGCCGGACACUGUUGACUGAACCAGGAAGAACCUGGAUUAGAAAGGUUGCGUCCCGUGCGGGGUUUGUGAUGCCGGGAUUGGCUGCGCCUUAAUCGCCUGGUCCUCUCAGUGCCGAAGAGUUCCGCGGCUCGGCCAUGGCGUCGGUGGCGGACUUCCUGUCCGUGUCCGAGUGGCUGACCGUGCUGCGGCUGGAGCAGUACGCCCAUGCCUUCCAGGGCGUCGGCUACGGCACGCUGUCCGAGUGCCGCAGCCUGACCCCCGGCGACCUGGAGCAGGUGGGCGUGGUCCUGCCGGGCCACCAGAAGCGCAUCUUGGCCAGCCUGCAGAAGAUGUUCUCGGAGGGGCAGGAGGGCGACAGGCCCAUCCCGCGGGAGAGGACCACCUUGCGCUCUCCCUCCCACUCGAGCGGCCGUGAGGGUGCCGAGGGCCUGGGGCCGGCGCAGUCCCGCAGCCCUAAAUACCCCGAUCGCUGCCCCGCCCCUCCCCCUAUCCCACCCAGGGUCACCACAAACCAACCCCCUGUCAAGUUCACCCCAGCACCUGUUCCCCGGUCGCGCCCGGAGACCCUGCUGCUCCAGCCCCUCGAGCAGCAGCAUCCACCCCCUGUCUCCCUGUCCCCAUCAACGUCUUCCUCCUCUUCCUCAUCCUCUGCCUCAGAGCAGGCGCCUCACAGCGAGCAGUGUUCCACCUCGGGACAGGGGGACAUGGUAGUGCCACCGCUGCCACCCAAAUGCUACCCUGUGGCAGCCUCCAGAGAGCCCCGCGGCCCUCCUCCGUUGCCGCGGCGCCCCCCUAUCCCCGCUCCCAGAAUUGUGGUGCCCAAGACUCCACCCACACCCAGCGUCGCUCCGGUGCGCGAGCCUCAGGAGCCCGAGCGAGGUCCGGACGUCCCGGCCCGGGAUAAGGUGGCCAGCCAGCCCAGCACCGUGCCCGCCCUGCCCAAGAGGAGCGUCCUGCCGCCGCCCCCACAAUCCAGAUCUGACUCCACCAACAGCUCUGAGGACUAUGAGGAGCCAGAACCACUCUUCUUUGAGCCUGUAGACAUGGCAGAGAAGGACAGUUUUCUGCUUGUGCCGAGGCCGGAGCCGAAACGCUUCAGCAGUCUCUGCAGCGAAGACGAGCUCCUGGAUGACGACGGCGAAACGCCCUACGAGUCUGCAGCCUGCCGCCAGAGGUCUUGGGUCAUUUCCAGACUUAGCGCUGACCAGGAGAGCAUCUACCUACCCCCAGUGGGGAGGGUCCCCUCCCAGGACACCCGAGAUGACCUCACGCCUCAGCUCACUGCUGUUAUCAAAAUGGGCUGGCUGGACAAGAACCCGCCUCAGGGGUCCCUGAUCUACCAGAAGCGCUGGGUGAAACUGGACGCGGACUACCUGAGAUACUUUGACAGUGAGAAGGAUGUCUACUCAAAGAGGAUCAUACCAACGUCCUCAAUCACCGGCAUCACCAACAUUGGUGACCAGAAGUUUGAGGUGGUGACACACAACAGGACAUUCCUCUUCCGGGCCGAGAGCGACGUGGAGAGAAACGAGUGGGCGUCGGUCCUCCAGGAGGCGACGAGCGAGCGGCGCAUGAGCAGGGAUUCCAGCACCGGGGCGGUGGAGAGGCAGGGCUACCUGGAGCUGCGCGGCCUGCGCUCCAAGCUCUACGUGGUCGUGUGCGGAGACAAGGUCUACCUGUACAAGAACACCGAGGACUACAAAGUGGGCAUUGGCAUCACGUCCAUCGACAUGAACGUGGGCAAUGUGAAGGACAUGGACAAGAGGGCUUUUGACCUCACCACUCCUUACAGAAUAUUCAGCUUUGUUGCAGAGUCGGACCAGCAGAAGGAGGAGUGGGUAGAGGCCAUGAGGAACUCCAUUGGGGAGGCCCUGUCCAACUACGAGGUGGCCAAGAAGAUCUGGUCUGAGGAGUCCAAUGAGUUCUGUGCUGACUGUGGUGCUGCCAAACCAGAGUGGGCUGCUAUUAACCUGUGUGUGGUGUUCUGCAAGCGCUGCGCAGGGGAGCAUCGUGGUCUUGGACCCAGCAUCUCCAAAGUUCGGAGUCUGAAAAUGGACAAGAAAGUCUGGACGGAGGAGCUCAUUCAGGUGUUCCAGUUGCUAGGAAACGAGCGGGCGAACCACUUCUGGGCGGCGAACGUUCCCCCCAGUGAGGCCUUGUCUCAGUCCAGCUGCAGUGAGGACCGCCGGCGAUUUAUCACCGCAAAGUACCGCGAGGGAAAGUACCGCCGCUACCACCAGCUCUUUGGCAACCAGCAGGAGCUGGACAACGCCCUGUGCAUCAACGUCCAGACCAAUGAUGUGCUGGAGACUCUCUCCCUUGUGUUCUGUGGAGCCAAUGUGAACUGUGACACAGGAAACCCAGAAUUCCCCACUCCCAUUGCCCUGGCCCAGAGCUACAACCAGAAACUGCAAGUGGAGUUCCUGAGCCAGAACCGGAACGCAGAGAUUCCAAGGUCAGAGGUUGGAGGUCACAUGGACACAGUGCACUAUAUGGCCCCGCCCUCCAUCACGCACAAUGGGUUUCUCUUCAAGACCGCCUCCAUGGGACGACCAAUCACGGAGCGGAAAGCCAAAGAAGAGUUCAGUCGGCGGUGGUGUACUUUGAAUGAUGGGCAUUUUAACUAUUAUGAGAGUGACAAGAAUUCCACCCCCAAUGGAGGUCUGAAGAUGAAGGAAAUUGUCUGCCUAGUGGUCAAUCCACCAGAGAAACACGGUUAUGAUCACACGUUUGAGAUCUACACUGACUCUGAGCGAGUGUACCUGUUUGGAACAGACAACCCAGACUCCAUGAGGGAGUGGGUGAAAUCCAUUGCCAAGUCAUUCAUGCCGUCCAGUGCCGAGGAACUGCUGAACCGGGACUUUGAGCGGGUGGGCCGGCUGCGGUACAAGGACGGGCUGAACCUGCAGAGCCCCCGGGUGGGCUGGUUUGCCCUGGUGGGCUCUACGCUGUUCGCCUGCUUCGAGGACAGCGAGGGAGAAGAGGCCAUUCACCUGCGCAAGCUGCACGAGCUCUCUAUCCAACAGGAAAAUGAAGUGCUUGUUUUGGUGGAGAGAGGGAGGACCUUGUACAUUGAGGGUGAGCGAAAGCUGGACUUCUUGGGCUGGUCCAUGGCCAUCCAGCGUGCAGCUGGGAGCUCGGGGGACACCCUGUCCCAGCAGCAAUUGACGGAGGCGGACAUUCCCGUCAUAGUGGACCGCUGCAUCGACUACAUCACACAGUGCGGCCUGACGUCUGAAGGGAUCUACCGAAAGAGUGGUGUGAACUCCAAGAUCGCCGCCCUGCUGGAGACAUUUCGCCGGGACGCGCGCUGCAUGCGACUGAAGGAAGGAGAACACCAGGUGGACGACGUGUCAAAUGUGCUGAAGAGGUUCUUCAGAGACGUGGAGGAGGGCAUUUUCACCUCCCAGGCCACGCCCCACUGGCUCAGCACGACAGCUAUCGGGGAGCAGAGCAAAAAGAUUGCACAGUACCAGUUCCUGUUCAAUAGCCUACCCAGGGUCAACAAGGCCACUCUACGAGCCCUUGUUAAUCACCUCUACUGCGUCCAGCGCUUUGCGGACAUGAAUCAGAUGAACCUGCACAACCUGGCCAUUGUUUUUGGCCCCACCCUCUUCCAGGCGGAUGGCAAGGACUACAAUGCUGGUCGAGUCAUUGAAGAGCUGAUCGAACACUAUGUGGCUAUAUUUAAUGUGAACGAACAACAGUUGAAAAAACAGCUGGAUGAGAUUACGGUCAUCAUUAAGGUGCGAGAGAACCUGAACGCCAAAGUCCCGUCCUCCAGCUCAGGAGACUUCAUUUGUACUGUUUACCUGGAGGAGAAGAGGGAAACAGCUGAGCAGCAUGUGAAGAUCCCUGCAACAAUGACUGCAGCCGAGCUUGUUGUGGAGAUUCUGGACCGACGGAAAAUCUCCCUCCGAGAGAAAGACUACUGGUGCUGCUUCGAGGUGAACGAGAAGGAAGAAACAGAACGUCCCCUGCACUAUCAGGAAAAAGUCCUGCCCAUCCUUCACUCACUGGGCACAGAAAGCUACCUGGUGGUACGGAAGCACUUCUCCAUGGAGGCCAUGCUUGUCUAUCUGGCCAGCAAAGUGGACGUUUCCAAACAUGGCAUGAUGAAGUUCCGUGAAGACCGGAACCUGCUCGGACUGGGCCUCAACACCGGCAGCUUCCACGACCGCUACUUCAUCCUCACCACCACCUCCCUCAGGCUCUAUAAGGAAGUGCGGAGUCUUCAAAAGCUGCAGAGUCCUGAGCUACUGUGUAGCAACAGGCCAGAGAAGGAGUGGCCAGUCAAGUGCCUGAGGGUCUACCAGGGCAUCAAGAAGAAGCUGCGCCCUCCCACAUGCUGGGGGCUGACUGUGAUUUACGAAAACGAGAAACACGAAAAGCACGAGAGGCAGCAAUGGUACCUGUGCUGUGACACACAGAAUGAGAUGAGGGAGUGGUUUGCCACCUUUCUGAGCAUACAGCACGAGGGCAGCGUGUGGCCGGCGGAGACCAUAAAGAUGCGGGCGAGCCGGGUGGUGCCGCUGGAUGCCAGGUUGGGUAACGUGUCCCUAAUCCCACUGCGUGGCAGUGAGAACGAGAUGAGGAACAGCGUUGCUGCUUUCACUGCUGACCCGCUUGCUGUGAGUCAAUCAACCAAUCAACCAAUGGGGGAGCAGACUGCGGAUGACACAAUCGGUCAGCCCCGCCCACCUCGAGACCAGAGUUUGGUCCGGGAGGGGACGUGCUCUCGUGAUGUGGAGGAAAGUCCCUCGAUGGAGCCCCUCGUGCCCAGCUGUAAAUUGCUUCGACGGGCAGAAAAUGGGCAGGGUUGACCUUUUUGUCAAGUGUUCAUUGUGCCCCUCAAGUGGCUGGUGGCUUGUGUCCCAUCUCAGGGUCCUCAUCCCCCCAGCCAGUUGACCUCGGGCAUAAAUGGCAGUCCAAGAUAAUGGGAAAUGAUUAUUGCUGUAUUUGUUGGUGCCUUUUUGAUUGUGGGGAAAUCUGUACAAGUGGCUUAUUAUAUUCCGCUUUUCAUACUUUCUGUUUUUUUUUUCAACCUGGGUCUUAUUACAGUCAUAUUUUCCAUCAUUCUUAUUGGUUCUGAUAGUAUUUUGUGUGCCUGCUGCAUUGUAGAGGCUUUUUCUAAAGAGAUAUUUGUGAAAAAUGUGAAUGUUUAAAUUUAUUUACCAAAAUUAAUAGUAAAAAUAUUCCAUUGCAUGCUGUUUCAACAUUGGUGUGUGGCUCCCUUUUAUAAGCUAACAUGGAAAAUUCUAAUCCUAAAGUUGUUGCCAUGGCUGAUUAUUCAGAAUAAGGGGGAUAGUUAAGUACGGUAGGUCAGUUCUGCAAGCUGAAAUGGCAUGCAACAGAAUUUUAUAUUUUGGUUUAGAAAUUUGUUUCACUUUUUAAUGAGAGGUAUACUGUAGAUAAACUGGACUUUAUUGAGGGGAACUGAACCUGUAUCUGGAUAUGCCGUUGAGAAAAUACUUCCAAAAGACCGAAAACCUCUACAACGAAGCAGUUGCAUAAAAUACUAUCAGAACUGAUAGAAGUGACAGAAAAUACUAUGAAAAUAAGACCCAGGUUGGGGGAAAAAUGGGAUUUUUCCUUUAGGCUCUUUUCUGGCCAGCAGCUUCAGAAUGACAUGAUUUCACUCAUGCGUGCACACUUCUGUAUUAGAACAUACAUGAAGAAAGAGCCAACAUGGUACAUAUAUGGUCACGACUAGUGUGCAUACUGAAUGUUUAAGUCAUGUGUAUUUUGUCCUUGAUGGUAAGUAACUUCAUGGGUAAGUAUAAAUUUAGCAGUGUGUGUCAUAAUGGCAUGACCAUUGUUUUUUAUCAUCAUUAUUAUUAUUUAUUACUUAGUUUUCUUGUUUUCUUUUUGAAAUGUUACUGUACCAAUGUGAUUUUACUUAGUUCCUUUAAAAAGUGCCAAAGGCUUGUUAUCUUGUAUUGCCACUGAAAAUGCACUCGUUCUGUUUUCCAGCUUUUCAGAAAUGUAUGAUAGUACAGCCUGACAUUAAGGGCAGUGACCAGCAGAGGGAAGCCUCGCGCAGGACAGCUACGUGAAGGCCAAGACCCGUUUCCUCGUAGAACAUUCCAGAACCUCCUGAUCACAGGGACAGACUAGCGCUUGUGUGGUUGCACACAUCCCUCCCCCUAUAAUCCAGUGGGAUCAGAAACACGGGACCACCACAGACGGUGCUGCGGCUCGGAGCCUUUUCUCCCCUUGGUCUGCCUCCUACAGGCCUGCUGGGUCCAGGGCCAGCCUGGCUGUGCGGCUAGGCUAGGGGCAUCUGUAGAAUCCCCCUGCCCCGUUCCCCUGACCAUUUUCUCCUUCAUACAUACCCCACGAGGACUUCUAGAGUGGUGCCUUCCCACCAUCUCGGGUGAACAUGCCCCCCCACCCCCUUCCCCACCCUGCACCACCCUCUGUCUUUGACAGAACGUACCCUACCUGUUGGCUAACUGUCUAACUGAAAACGUGAGCCUGUCUCUGGACCUUACUGGAGCCAGUUUGUUAAGCCGAACACCUGACCCGUGCGGGCCUUGGUUGACCGGGGUUUAGCCGGGGACUGACCAUUACCAUUGUGGACUUUGUAAAGAACCGUCUCUGCUCUGCUGAGCUGAACUGUUUCCAUUCAGCUGCCUUUCAGCUCACCCAGCCUUUUAGAUGAUCUCAGUCAGACCAGACCUGUAACAUUUCAGACCAUUCCAAUUAAGGUUAUGACUUGCAGUAUUUUAAGAGGCUUGGCUGACUUUUCUAAAGGUGAGUAAUGUUUAUAGGUUUUGUUGUAAUUAAUUCAAAUAAACACUUAUGGUUGGCUCGAUAGAAGAGCCAACUGCUUCAGUAUUUGAUGGCGCCAGUUACUAAUUAUUAAGUUCUAAGUAAAUGUACAUUAUUUUGACAAAGGGUAGCUGACUCCUAGCUCAGUAUUUUUCACGUGUCUUCAUCCUCACCAGGUUUGCCCAAACCUAAUUUGCUUUUUGGCUUAAUGCAACAUUUUUAAAGACUUCUUUAAUUAUUUAUUGUGCAACAGCGAGAUUUCAAUCGUACUCGUAGUAUGCCGUGAUGGAAUAUCGUAUCAAAAUUUAAAAUAAAAUUUUAAAGAAAUCACUGUAGAAUUCACAGAGAAUGAAAUAAUUUCAGAUGUUGUCAGGACUGUAAGCUCUACGAAGGGAGAGUAGAAUCUGAAUCUAGUACAGGUUGUGUCUCCAUUGUAUGUUCCUCUGCAAACUAAUAAAUGUUAGAGUAAGAGAAAUGAAUAAUCAAUCCUUUCAAAGAUCAUUUUUCCAAGACAACUUGAAUGACACAUCUCUGGGUCCUGUUGCACAGGAGCCUGUGAUUUUUAUUAUUCUUACCGUUGUCUUCAUUAACAUUUUCGCAGUAUCAUUAUCCCCAUUAAAAUGUUCGAAAAGCA